rnacentral:misc_RNA from 1 species
AAAAUAAUGGAAGCUACCUAGAUGAUGCUGAGGAAAUUCAUGGUUCCUAUACCCCACGAUUCAGCUUGUUUCCUUCUCCUUUCUCCCUCAAUUUGGCUAGUUAGGGUUAGUAGAUUAGCGUUCCAUUCAAUUAAUAGAGUUAUAAUUUUGGUUUUUGCCUUGCCCUUGGUGCCAUCAAGUUUCUGCACUAGGAAGGCUUUUGUAAUCCGAGUUGUCUCUUCUGGAACAACUGGUUCUUUAG